rnacentral:lncRNA from 10 species
GUGGGGACCAAGAGCUGAGGCCCAUGGAAGAGAAAUGACUUGCUCCAGGGGACAUAUGAGGUCCCUGGGAACCCAUCAAGUUUGCAAAAGUUACAGUGUUCCCCCAAAACCAUGCCUCACCCCAACAUUCACCAUGCCCUGGCUGCAAUCCUGCUUGGCAAAGAAGGUUUGAGAUCAGAUCUUUCAGGUGGACCAUGUCGCCCCCAUUCUCCAGCUGAAAGGAAAAUGCACACAGCUGACCACGGUGGGAUCCUCUGGACACGAGCGCCUCUCUUCAUCUUCAUGCCUCUUCCUUGACCCCUGCCCCCCUCACCAGGCACUGCUCUCCCCACUUUCCCUGGAAGAUGAUCCAGAUAUGUCCUGACCUCAGAGGUUUAGAGGUUUCAAAUGUGAAACACAUCUCCAGAAAAAACAAAGUCAGAGAGGCAAUAAACUUCGACAACUGUGUCCUUGCAGAGCAGGCAACUCACUGCGUGGUAAUGGUUGACUGUAACCUGGUCGAGCCAUGACUCUGGGAAGAAGUUAAGGUGCCGCAGCACCUCCAGAUCCUUGCCUGGGAAGAAACGCAAAGAGAAUGUUUUUUAGUUUUAUUCACACCAGAGCCUCAAAAGUCUCAUUUACAGAAAGGAAAAGGAAGAAGUCCGGAGCUGAGGGAAGGGAAAGGGGUGGAUGGUCUCCUUUAAGGUUUGAUUGACAAAGUGGAAAUAAAACGUCUC